rnacentral:rRNA from 1 species
AACGUAGGACGCAAGCGUUAUCCGGAAUUACUGGGCGUAAAGCGCGUGUAGGUGGUUUUAUAAGUCACUGUUGAAAGCUCCUGGCUAAACUGGGAGAGGUGCGGUGAGACUGUAGAGCUAGAGUUUGGGAGAGGGGUGCGGAAUUCCGGGUGUAGUGGUGAAAUGCGUAGAGAUCCGGAGGAACACCAGAGGCGAAGGCGGCACCCUGGCCUAAUACUGACACUGAGACGCGAAAGCAUGGGGAGCGAACGGG